rnacentral:rRNA from 1 species
ACACGACUACAUUAGAUACCCCGGUAGUCCUAGCCGUAAACGAUACUCACUAGGUGUCGGCCACGGUGCGACCGUUGUCGGUGCCGUAGGGAAGCCGUGAAGCGAGCCACCUGGGAAGUACGGCCGCAAGGCUGAAACUUAAAGGAAUUGGCGGGGAGCACCACAACGGGUGGAGCUUGCGGUUUAAUUGGAUUCAACGCCGGAAAUCUUACCGGGACCGACAGCAACAUGAAGGCCAGGCUGAAGACUUUUGCCGGAUUAGCUG